rnacentral:rRNA from 1 species
CCUUACACAUGCAAGUCGAACGGCAGCGGGGGUAGCUUGCUACCUCCGGCGAGUGGCGAACGGGUGAGUAAUACAUCGGAACGUGCCCUGUAGUGGGGGAUAACUAUCGAAAGACUAGCUAAUACCGCAUACGACCUGAGGGUGAAAGUGGGGGACCGCAAGGCCUCAUGCUAUAGGAGCGGCCGAUGUCUGAUUAGCUAGUUGGUGGGGUAAAGGCCCACCAAGGCGACGAUCAGUAGCUGGUCUGAGAGGACGAUCAGCCACACUGGGACUGAGACACGGCCCAGACUCCUACGGGAGGCAGCAGUGGGGAAUUUUGGACAAUGGGGGCAACCCUGAUCCAGCAAUGCCGCGUGUGUGAAGAAGGCCUUCGGGUUGUAAAGCACUUUUGUCCGGAAAGAAAUCGCUUCGGUUAAUACCUGGAGUGGAUGACGGUACCGGAAGAAUAAGGACCGGCUAACUACGUGCCAGCAGCCGCGGUAAUACGUAGAGCGUUAAUCGGAAUUACUGGGCGUAAAGCGUGCGCAGGCGGUUGUGCAAGACCGAUGUGAAAUCCCCGGGCUUAACCUGGGAAUUGCAUUGGUGACUGCACAGCUAGAGUGUGUCAGAGGGAGGUAGAAUUCCACGUGUAGCAGUGAAAUGCGUAGAGAUGUGGAGGAAUACCGAUGGCGAAGGCAGCCUCCUGGGAUAACACUGACGCUCAUGCACGAAAGCGUGGGGAGCAAACAGGAUUAGAUACCCUGGUAGUCCACGCCCUAAACGAUGUCAACUAGUUGUUGGGGAUUCAUUUCCUUAGUAACGUAGCUAACGCGUGAAGUUGACCGCCUGGGGAGUACGGUCGCAAGAUUAAAACUCAAAGGAAUUGACGGGGACCCGCACAAGCGGUGGAUGAUGUGGAUUAAUUCGAUGCAACGCGAAAAACCUUACCUACCCUUGACAUGCCACUAACGAAGCAGAGAUGCAUUAGGUGUCGAAAGAGAAAGUGGACACAGGUGCUGCAUGGCUGUCGUCAGCUCGUGUCGUGAGAUGUUGGGUUAAGUCCCGCAACGAGCGCAACCCUUGUCUCUAGUUGCUACGAAAGGGCACUCUAGAGAGACUGCCGGUGACAAACCGGAGGAAGGUGGGGAUGACGUCAAGUCCUCAUGGUCCUUAUGGGUAGGGCUUCACACGUCAUACAAUGGUGCAUACAGAGGGUUGCCAAGCCGCGAGGUGGAGCUAAUCCCAGAAAAUGCAUCGUAGUCCGGAUCGUAGUCUGCAACUCGACUACGUGAAGCUGGAAUCGCUAGUAAUCGCGGAUCAGCAUGCCGCGGUGAAUACGGUCUUGUACACACCGCCCGUCACACCAUGGGAGUGGGUUUUGCCAGAAGUAGUUAGCCUAACCGCAAGGGGGGCGAUUACCACGCAGGGUUCAUGAC